UGCGCAGGUGGUUUUGUAAGUCAGAUGUGAAAGCCCCGGGCUCAACCUGGGAACUGCGUUUGAAACUACAAGACUAGAGUGUGGCAGAGGGGGGUGGAAUUCCGCGUGUAGCAGUGAAAUGCGUAGAGAUGUGGAGGAACACCGAUGGCGAAGGCAGCCCCCUGGGUCAACACUGACGCUCAGGCACGAAAGCAUGGGGAGCAAACAGGAUUAGAUACCCUGGUAGUC
rnacentral:rRNA from 1 species